GUAGUAAAGAAGUGAUGAUCCAGGCAGGAAAUGACUCAUACAUAAACAAGGGAAGAAGGAAGUGGGCCCCUUCUUCUCUCCUCCUCCAGAGUCACCAUGUGAUCCCAGGAUGAGGACACCAAUGGAAGGCGUCUGAUAACAUAACAGGCAGAACUCAGGUGGCUGGUAGCUGAAAGACUUAACGUAACAAAGCAUGCAAAGGGACCUCUCUGAUGAAAAUGGACUUGAUUCAAUUAAUGAAAGAUGUGAAUAGAACAAAAGGCAGAAUAACCAGAAACUCUUCUCAUCUGGUUGCUGAGCUGAGUAGGAUGCCAUGAGCUUGAACCGAUGUUUGGCUGAGGGUCUCAGCAUCUGUUUCCACCAGUUACUGGAUGAAGCCUCUCUGAUGAUGGUUGGGCCCUCUGUAGUUUUUAAGAAGUCUGGACUUGGUGGGAGAUCUUGAAGAAAAGCAAAAGAGAUACAGAAACAGGACAGAAGAACUCUGGAAACUUAAUUACAAAUUGUGGAACAGGAAAGAAACAUCUAGAUGCACAGCCUAUAAAAUAACUAACUCCUGCUUUUCUUUCAAAAAUCACAUCCCUGUUACACGUAACUUCUUGAGCCAUUUAUGAUUAUUUUCUAUUAAUUUGUCAUUUUCUAUGGGUAUAAUAAGUGGCUUAAGAUAAAAGUAGUUUGGGACUCAUAUAUUAUUAAACACAAUAUAAAGAUGUUAAUAUAAUUGUUAAUAAUAUCCAUGCUAUAUAAAGACAAAUUUUUACUUUUUCCAUUUAACAAGUGAAGCAUACUGUUUCAUUUACUUUAAAUUAAUUAUGUAAUAAAAGCAUGAGUUGUCAACA
rnacentral:lncRNA from 1 species